CAGGCUGUUUGGGCUGUGGUGGGCCCAGAUUUUCUGGCCUGAUAUGGAAGGCAUACUUUGUGCUCUGAAUGCAGGUUGCCACAAGGAUGGGACUAAGACUUUUGGAUGGGGAUUUUGGGACUUUAUUGAAAACUAAUUGCCAUUGCAGCUGUAGUCUCUUUCUUAGCCUGCCAGUGGUAGGGUUCAGAGAGGAGCCAAGCGUCCCGACAGGCAUUCCCCAAAUCCACCCAAGCAGUACCACAGCAAAGGUGAGAUCAGAACAUGGAAGACUGGCAGCUAUUGAAAAUCCCAUAGGUUUACCAAAGUACUGGAUACCUGAAGAUCCCAGACUUCUCUGUGCUAGAUAAUUGAAGGCAGAGCACUCCACUGAAAAGGCUGCCAAGAUCUAUCAGUGAAACAAAAUUCUUCAUGAAUUGAUUCCUCACCAUUCAGCUUGGUUCUCCUUCAUAUACUUUCAUCUACUCCAGCUACUUUUCCCAUCUUGUUCUUGUUAGUGUCAUAUCGAUUUUGUUUAUAAGCACACACAUAUUUGUAAUAUUCAAGCAAUGGUUUUACCGGUGGCAAAGACCAGUGAUAUCUUUGGGUCUCUAGUCACCAAUCCUGUGCUCUUAGCACACCCAAACAAGAUUAAGGAUCAUACUGUCUCAUGUGAAUGUGAGGACACAAAAUUACAACUCAGAACUACAGAGAAUACACAAUCUUCAAGAGAAGAACAUGAUGAGAAAUGUGACAAAAGAAAAGAGGAAUGAGCCAAGGAAACUGAGUCUAAACUCAAGAUUGACAAUUAUGAGCCCAUGUUGGGCCCCAGGCCUCACUCACACAACAAAGUCCUCAACCCACCAGGUGGCAUA